rnacentral:rRNA from 1 species
AGCGGUUAUACAAUGAUAUAUAAAUUAAUUAUAUUAAUUUAUUAUUAUAAUAAUAAUUUAUUAAUAUUAAUAGUUAUAGUUUUUAGAUUAAAUAAAAACUAUUUAUAUUAUUAUUAAAUUAAAUUAAUUUAAGUUAAUUAAAUAUUAUAAUAAACUAGGAUUAGAUACCCUAUUAUUAAUAUUCAAUUUUAUAGUAAUUAAUUAUUAAAUUUAAUAAAUUAAAAUUUAAAAAUUUUGACGGUAUUAUAACCUAAUUAGAGGAACUUGUAUCAUAAUUGAUAUUCCACGAUAGGAUAAAUUUAAUGUAUUUAAUAUUUUUGUAUGUUCGUUAUAAAAAAAUUUAUUAAUAAUUUAAAUUUUUAAAUUUUAUUAAAAUAAAUUAUUUCAGAUCAAUAUGAAAUUAUAUAUUAUAAGUUUUAUGAGUUACAAUUUAUUAACUAAUAGAUAUGAUUAAUUUUUAAAUAAUUUAAUUAAAAUGGAUUUAAUAGUAAUAAAUAAAAAUAAUUAUUUAUGAAUUUAGUUUUAUAAUAUGUACAUAUUGCCCGUCACUUCUAGAAAUAGGAUAAGUCGUAACAAAGUAAGUAUACUGGAAAGUGUACUUAG